rnacentral:rRNA from 1 species
AUGGUGUCCACGAACCAAAGUGCGUUCAUCGCCGGAAGGAGUGCGCAUGAUAACUUUCUUCUCGUCCAACAAACGGCCCGGCUCCUCCACAACCUCAAGGCACCGCGCGUUCUUCUUAAAUUGGACAUCGCCAAGGCAUUCGACACCGUGGCGUGGCCAUUCCUCCUCGAGACGCUUCGACACUUGGGGUUUGGCAUGCGUUGGUGUGAGUGGAUUUCGAUCCUCCUCUCCACAGCUUCGACUCGUGUUCUCCUCAACGGCACCCCCGGACCGCCGAUUGCUCAUGCCCAAGGGCUGCGCCAGGGUGACCUGGUGUCCCCCAUGCUGUUCACCCUGGUGAUUGACAAGCUUAACUCGCUCCUCGAGCAUGCCACAAACCAAGGGAUCCUCCAGCGGCUGACCACGCGCCACGCCGCGUCCAGCAUAUCCAUGUUCGCCGACGACUUGGUCAUCUUUUGCCAC